rnacentral:rRNA from 1 species
GUAGGUGGCAAGCGUUGUCCGGAAUUAUUGGGCGUAAAGCGCGCGCAGGUGGUUCUUUAAGUCUGAUGUGAAAGCCCCCGGGCUCAACCGGGGAGGGUCAUUGGAAACUGGGGAACUUGAGUGCAGGAGAGGGAAGUGGAAUUCCACGUGUAGCGGUGAAAUGCGUAGAUAUGUGGAGGAACACCAGUGGCGAAGGCGACUUUCUGGCCUGUAACUGACACUGAGGCGCGAAAGCGUGGGGAGCAAACAGGAUUAGAUACCCUGGUAGUCCACGCCGUAAACGAUGAGUGCUAAGUGUUGGGGGGUUUCCGCCCCUCAGUGCUGCAGCUAACGCAUUAAGCACUCCGCCUGGGGAGUACGGUCGCAAAGACUG